CUUUGUAGCCUUGACUUGGAGCAGAAACGUCUUUUUGCAUAUAAACACAACUUGAAGACUAACUGUGUGUACAGAGGAAACCACAGCUCCCUUUUUUUCUCAUCCAAGGGGAACAAAAUACGCAGAAUGACCAUUUGUACAGUUUUGAAAUCAAGGGUAAGAAAGAAGAAAUAUUCCAGGCGCGAUCGGCAAAUUUUAGUAAUAACUUGCAAGCAUGAACAAUGAACUAUAAUUGUUGCAAAUUAAAAAUUUGAAGAGAAAUCGACUUUUUACGUCAAACUGUUACAUCCAUUACUUUAUUCAUAGUCAUAUCAGAACAGGGAUGGUAUUUUUCGGAAAUUGAUCUACAGGCAUUUGGGAUUUAAUAUGCAGGUUUUGAAGAAAAAAACCCUUAAAAUUAGCGUCUUCGCAUAACGGCCUUGAACGCACGACAAAAGAAAAAUUACGGCAUUGAGAAUACGCCCACAAAAGUCAGGCAUAAAUAUACUUUCGUCCGUCACCGGAUUUAGAUUCAAGACGAUUGGUUAGAUUUUUAAGAAGUGAAAUAAAACUUGCGCAGCUGGAAUUUUACGUAUAUAUACCAGCGGAAACGGGAUAUUGCAGCAAACGAUACAGAACACAGUGCAAGUUUGUGAAAAGUAAAUUUCCGUCAGUCUGUUUAUGAUGUGGCCUUCAAAAGCAUUCGUCUUGUUCAUCGAGCUAUGUUUACUUGCUGCAGCGCAUGGUUGCUACAUUUUUAACGACGGGUGUAAUGAUUUCAGUUGUUGUGAAGGAGACACGAACCCUACCCUCGUCAACCUAGGAGAAUGUUGCCUCAAAUGCACAUGGAAUCAGAACACAUAUUCCCGGGGACAGUGGUUCUACCCGGCUGGCGAGCCUAAUCGUCUUUGUAUCUGUACGUCAUGCGGAAGAGUGUACUGUUCGCCGUCACAGUACCACCUAUGCAGCUCGUCACGAUAUUACAUGAACAGGUUGUGGUUCACGGGUUCAUCGGUCGGUCCACUAUGUCGCUGUCGAUCUGACAAUACUGUUGCUUGUGGUGUUGCUGCAUGCUACAGGCCUUAAAGACUUGAGCCAAGUGAAGAUGGACGACAGGGUGAACAGUCGCCAAAUCCUGCAACGGGGGCAUCAUAGAAAGAAACUAAAAAAUCCGUAUUAUGGCAGCAUGCUAGAUUGACCAUGUUGUUAAUUUUUUUCUAUACGUUGAUGAAAAUUAAAUGGUAAUAAUAUGAAUAAACUGGACCUUUGUUAUAAUAUAUUGAACUAUGAAUCCGGGGAAGGUGUUGGUAGAAUAAUCUGCUGUUUUUCAUUUUAAUGUUCAAAUAUUUCAUAAGAAUACUGUAAAUGUUAUGAGACGAAUUUUAAUGUGAAAACAACUAACCUGUGGCCAAUAAAUGUAUAAAUUGAGCAA